UGCUCUUAUUAUUACUAUAAUUUUAUUUGUGUUAUAACUUUUGUUGAUUUAAUCUUUUCAGAAUGCUGCAGCCUCUCGUUGGUUUCUUCGUCGAAAAACAGACUACAACCCGAGGCAGACCACUUUACGUCAUUAGUCGAGAGCAGCUGGAGUAUCUAGUUGAAGCGGGCUUCAAACAACGAGCUAUUGCUAGUCUGCUUCAUGUGUCUGAUUCGGUUAUUAAGCGCUGCCUCAGGACAUGGUAUAAGCAUCAGGGGAAGGUACUUGAGCAUCUCCAAUGAGGAACUUGACAAUCUGGUCCGAGAGAUAACAAAUGGCAAUCAGACACUUGGGCAACGAAUGGUUCAGGGACAACUUCAGAGUCUAGGACAUCGGGUUCAAAGACAACGUGUUGCUGACAGUCUGAUCCGGGUCGACGAAGCAGCCGUAGCCAUGUGAUGGUGUCACUCGAUUCGACGAAGGGUGUACAAUGUUGCUGGUCCAAACUCAUUGCGGCACAUAGAUGGAAACCACAAAUUGAUGAGAUGGGGUUUUGUCAUACACGGAGGCAUCGAUGGCUUCUCGGGGAUGUGUGUUUUCCUCCAAGCUGCGACCAACAACAAGGCUACCACGAUGACAAAAGCCUUCAUGACAGGCACCCAGCGCUAUGGUUUCAGGAGCGAUCAUGGACUGGAGAAUACCUUGGUUGGGGUGUUUAUGAUAGCGCAUCGUGGACCUCGUCGGGGUUCUUUCAUCACAGGAAGGAGCGUUCACAAUCAGCGGAUUGAAUGUAUGUGGCGUGACCUGUUUGCCAGUGCAACAAGCCUGUUUCACAGCUUGUUUACGUAUCUUUAGGAGUCUGGACAGUUGGAUUUGGCAAAUCCAGUGCACAUAUGGUGCCUUCAUCAUGUGUUUGUGCCUCUUGUCCAGCGAGCAUAAGACAUAUUUCGUGAGGGCUGGAACUUGCACAGGUUGAGUGGGGAAAGAGGUAGAAACCCCACACAGCUCUAAUUGAGGGCAUGAUGCGCCAAGCUGGACAGGGUCAUAGGGGCGUCGAUGACAUGGUGUUCCGUGCUCCAGAGAGGCCAUCCAAGACCAUGACGAAAAUGGCAUUGACGAUAAGGUCGAGGUAGCUCCCCGAGAAGACAUGAUCAUCAAUGUGUCAAAAGUAGACUGUCCUCUGAACGGUCAACGAGCAGGACUUCACAAGACUAGAACAAACUGUGAACAUUGAAAGUGAUAUCCAGGGUGUGGAUUGUUUAUUGGCAUGUGUGGAGUUCUGCAAUUCUGUGUUGUUACCAACAUAUGAUAAACGUGAAACUGUGUACAUGCAUGUCAGAUAAAGAUGUUUAUAUACUCAUGUCGUGUUUCAGCUAUCGUGGCCUAAAGCAAAAUAACUUAAUAAGCUUGACAUUUUGUACAAAAUUAAAGUUCUUACAAGUGGAAAUUAUAUAGAUGUUUCUAU